rnacentral:rRNA from 1 species
CCUACGGGCGGCAGCAGUGAGGAAUAUUGGUCAAUGGUCGGGAGACUGAACCAGCCAAGCCGCGUGAGGGAUGAAGGUACAGAGUAUCGUAAACCUCUUUUGUCAGGGAACAAAGGCGGGGACGUGUCCCCGGAUGAGUGUACCUGAAGAAAAAGCAUCGGCUAACUCCGUGCCAGCAGCCGCGGUAAUCCGGAGGAUGCGAGCGUUAACCGGAUUUAUGGGGUUAAACGGGUGCGCGGGCGGUCUGUUAAGUAAGCGGUAAAAGCCCGGGGCUCAACCCCGGCCCGCCGUUGAAACUGGCAGUCUCGAGUUGGAGAGAAGUAUGCGGAAUGCGCGGUGUAGCGGUGAAAUGCAUAGAUAUCGCGCAGAACUCCGAUUGCGAAGGCAGCAUGCCGGCUCCACACUGACGCUGAGGCACGAAAGCGUGGGUAUCGAACAGGAUUAGAUACCCUUGUAGUC